rnacentral:lncRNA from 1 species
GUAUGACUGCUAGAAAGGUCAUUCCUCCUAAAAGACUUGGUGAUUACGUGUGGAAAGGGGGAAGUUCACGUAAAAAGGGGUAAAAUUGGCAAAGCAGUAGGCAUAAAGCAUCGUGAGUGGAGCAGUGCAGGGCAGAGUACUUUUUGUUAUCACUGGACACUCUUUCUCUCUCAAUUUCUUCUAAGUUCCUCACCUCCUUCUUCUCCUAUCGUUAGUUUUGCUACUCCUGCAAUUUCCUCUUGUAUUUCUGAUUCUAGGGACUUCAAUAUAUCUACUACUUGUAAGUUGAGAUAAAGGG